GCCAGACUCCUACGGGAGGCAGCAGUGGGGAAUAUUGCACAAUGGGGGAAACCCUGAUGCAGCGACGCCGCGUGAGUGAAGAAGUAUUUCGGUAUGUAAAGCUCUAUCAGCAGGGAAGAUAAUGACGGUACCUGAGUAAGAAGCCCCGGCUAACUACGUGCCAGCAGCCGCGGUAAUACGUAGGGGGCAAGCGUUAUCCGGAUUUACUGGGUGUAAAGGGAGCGUAGACGGCAUGGCAAGUCUGAAGUGAAAGCCCGGGGCUCAACCGCGGGACUGCUUUGGAAACUGUUAAGCUGGAGUGCAGGAGAGGUAAGUGGAAUUCCUAGUGUAGCGGUGAAAUGCGUAGAUAUUAGGAGGAACACCAGUGGCGAAGGCGGCUUACUGGGCUUUUACUGACGCUGAGGCUCGAAAGCGUGGGGAGCAAACAGGAUUAGAUACCCUAGUAAC
rnacentral:rRNA from 1 species